rnacentral:misc_RNA from 1 species
AAGUCGUAACAAGGUUUCCGUAGGUGAACCUGCGGAAGGAUCAUUAAAAGAGAACUUGCGCCCGGGGGCUCACCCCCUUGGGCACAACCUCCAUCCCUUGCUUAUUAUACUUAAUAACGUUGCUUUGGCGGGUCGUGGGUGUUCGCCCCAGGCGACCCUCCACCGGCUUCGGCUGGUGUGUGCCCGCCAAUAGCCAAAAUUAUAAAACCUUGAAGUAAAUUAUUGAAGUCUGAAUAUACUAUGAAAAUAGCCUAAAACUUUCAACAACGGAUCUCUUGGUUCUG